rnacentral:rRNA from 1 species
UGGGGAAUAUUGGACAAUGGGCGCAAGCCUGAUCCAGCCAUACCGCGUGGGUGAAGAAGGCCUUCGGGUUGUAAAGCCCUUUUGUUGGGAAAGAAAUCCUGUCGGUUAAUAACCGGUAGGGAUGACGGUACCCAAAGAAUAAGCACCGGCUAACUUCGUGCCAGCAGCCGCGGUAAUACGAAGGGUGCAAGCGUUACUCGGAAUUACUGGGCGUAAAGCGUGCGUAGGUGGUUGUUUAAGUCUGUCGUGA